rnacentral:piRNA from 1 species
UACCUGUAGAGGUGGACAGAAGGUGGGUC